GAUGAACGCUAGCGGCAGGCUUAAUACAUGCAAGUCGAACGGUAACAUGGCAGCAAUGCUGAUGACGAGUGGCGCACGGGUGCGUAACGCGUAUGCAAUCUACCCAUAACUGGAGGAUAGCCCCGAGAAAUCGGGAUUAAUACCCCAUAGGAUAGUGGAGUGGCAUCACUCAGCUAUUAAAGAUUUAUCACUUUGAGAUGGCUGUGCGUCUGAUUAGGUAGUUGGUGAGGUAACGGCUCACCAAGCCGACGAUCAGUAACUGGUGUGAGAGCACGACCAGUCACACGGGCACUGAGACACGGGCCCGACUCCUACGGGAGGCAGCAGUAAGGAAUAUUGGUCAAUGGACGCAAGUCUGAACCAGCCAUGGCGCGUGGAGGAUGAAGGUCCUCUGGAUUGUAAACUUCUUUUAUCUGGGACGAAAAAAGGGAAUUCUUUCUCGUCUGACGGUACCAGAUGAAUAAGCACCGGCUAACUCCGUGCCAGCCGCCGCUGUAACAC
rnacentral:rRNA from 1 species